rnacentral:rRNA from 1 species
GUCCAGACUCCUACGGGAGGCAGCAGUGAGGAAUAUUGGUCAAUGGGAGAGAUCCUGAACCAGCCAAGCCGCGUGAGGGAAGACGGCCCUAUGGGUUGUAAACCUCUUUUGUCGGAGAACAAAACCCGGGACGUGUCCCGGACUGCGUGUAUCCGAAGAAAAAGCAUCGGCUAACUCCGUGCCAGCAGCCGCGGUAAUACGGAGGAUGCGAGCGUUAUCCGGAUUUAUUGGGUUUAAAGGGUGCGUAGGCGGACGCUUAAGUCAGCGGUAAAAUUGCGGGGCUCAACCUCGUCGAGCCGUUGAAACUGGGUGCCUUGAGUGGGCGAGAAGUAUGCGGAAUGCGUGGUGUAGCGGUGAAAUGCAUAGAUAUCACGCAGAACUCCGAUUGCGAAGGCAGCAUACCGGCGCGCAACUGACGCUCAUGCACGAAAGCGUGGGUAUCGAUCAGGAUUAGAUACCCUAGUA